rnacentral:lncRNA from 10 species
UAGGAGGUGACAGCUCCAUGCACGUUACUGCCCGCCUCUCCCUGCGAGACAGAGUGUCACUGUAUUGCCCAGGCUGGAAUGGAGUGGUGUAAUCUUGGCUCACUGCAACCUCCGCCUUCUGGGGGUUCAAGCGAUUCUCAUGCCUCAGCCUCCCGAGCAGGCGCACAACACCACGCCCGGCUAAUUUUUGUAUUUUUAGUAGAGAUGGGGUUUUGCUAUGUUGGCCAGGCUGGUCUGACACUCCUAGCCUCAAGUCUGGUCUGCCUGUCCUGGCCUCUCAAAGUACUAGGAUUACAGGCAUGAGCCACCGCACCCAGUCCUGAUUUUAUCUCUUGAUCAUCUGGAUUAAACUGUACCAGAAGACACUCCUGGGACUUUUGGAUUGCGCAAACAAAUAAAUUUUUUCUUUUGCCUGAGUAAUUUUGUGCUGGAUAUCUGUCCUGGCUGAUAUAGUUAUGGCUGAUAUGUUAGACUGACUCUGUAUUUAAGUGUUAGUAGUUAAUUCCUAAUUAAUAGACUAUUAGAUAUCUUACGUUCAAGUAUAUAUCCUUUUUUCUUUGUAAUUUUGUCAAAUCUUUUAAGUAUUCAUUUCUGAUUCAUUUCACCGAACUCUGAAUUUUCUGGAAGGGGUUGGAAAAAGGGUUGUUAUUUCCCUAGUUUGCAUGCUUCAAUCAGACCAGGUGUUGACAGCGGUGUCUGUGUCAAUGCGUCAGUGACUAUGCCCUGCCAGUUACUAAAUAUUUUGAAUAUCAUAUCUAAUUGGUAGGGGGACACUGUUCUAAGUUGUUCUUUGAAUAUAUUUUUUGUUUGUGGACAAUGAUCUUAAUAUAACUGAC